UCACGAUAUUAAGGGCGCAUGGAGGAUGCCUUGGUUCUUGAAGGCGAUGAAGGACGUGAUAAGCUGCGAUAAGCUUCGGGGAGAUGCAAAUAAUCUUUGAUCCGAAGAUUUCCGAAUAGGUAAACCCCACUAACUAAGGUUAGUGACCCAUAGUGGAGCAAACCCAGGGAACUGAAACAUCUAAGUACCUGGAGGAAGAGAAAACAAUAGUGAUUCCCCUAGUAGUGGCGAGCGAAAAGGGAAGAGCCCAAACCGUUUCUGUUAAGGCAGAAGCGGGGUUGUAGGACUUCAACAUGAUAUGUAAUUUUAAGCUGAAGUAUCUGGAAAGAUACACCAUAGAGAGUGAUAGUCUCGUAAGCGUAAGAAUUGCAUUGAUAGAAGUAUCCUGAGUACCGCGAGGUCGGAGACGCCUUGUGGGAAUCAGCCGGCACCAUCCGGUAAGGCUAAAUACUCUCAAGAAACCGAUAGUGAACCAGUACUGUGAAGGAAAGGUGAAAAGAACCGCGAACAGCGGAGUGAAAUAGAACCUGAAACCAUGCGCUUACAAGCGGUCGGAGUCCUACGGGAUGACGGCGUGCCUUUUGCAUAAUGAACCUACGAGUUACUCCUCACUGGCAAGGUUAAUCCCGUUAACGGGAGGAGCCGCAGCGAAAGCAAGUCUGAAUAGGGCGUAUAGUCAGUGGGGGUAGACGCGAAACCUUGUGAUCUACCCAUGACCAGGAUGAAGUGGCGGUAACACGCCAUGGAGGUCCGAACUGGUGGACGUUGAAAAGUCCUCGGAUGAGUUGUGGGUAGGGGUGAAAGGCUAAUCAAACUGGGAAAUAGCUCGUACUCCCCGAAAUGUUUUUAGGAACAGCCUCGUGGUCGAGUGUCGCAGAGGUAGAGCUACUAAUUGGGCUAGGGGGCUUCACCGCCUACCAAACCCAGAUAAACUCCGAAUGCUGACGACAUAUACACGGGAGUGAGCCCUUGGGUGCUAAGGUCCGAGGGCGAGAGGGAAACAACCCAGACCAACAGCUAAGGUCCCUAAAUGUACGCUAAGUUGAUAAAACGUGGUCCGAUUGCAUUGACAGCUAGGAUGUUUGCUUGGAAGCAGCAAUUCAUUUAAAGAGUGCGUAACAGCUCACUAGUCGAGCGAUCGGGCGUGGAUAAUAAUCGGGCAUAAAGUGUACUACCGAAGCUUUGGACUCUGCUAUGCAGAGUGGUAGGGGAGCAUUCUAGUUGCGCAGAAGGUGUUUCGUGAGGAAUGCUGGAGCGACUAGAAAAGCAAAUGUAGGUAUAAGUAACGAUAAGGCAGGUGAGAAACCUGCCCACCGAAAGACUAAGGUUUCCUGAUCAACGCUAAUCGGAUCAGGGUCAGUCUGGACCUAAGAGGUAGCCGAAUGGCGAACUCGAUGGACAACAGGUUAAUAUUCCUGUACUUUUAAUGGUAGUGAUGGAGUGACGGAGAAGUGAAAGGUCUGCGUACUGACGGAUUAGUACGUUAAAGCCCGUAGAUAUAGAUGCUGUAGGUAAAUCCGCAGCGUUUGUCGAAGGUGAUAGUACCGCGAGUCUUCGGACAAGUGGAUAAUGACCCUAAUCAGGCUCCCGAGAAAAACUUCUAAACUUAAUACCAUUGAAACCAGUACCGCAAACCGACACAGGUAGUCGAGGAGAGAAUCCUAAGGUGCUUGAGUGAUCCAUGGCUAAGGAACUCGGCAAAUUAACCCUGUAACUUCGGGAAAAAGGGUGCCCCGAGCAAUCGGGGCCGCAGUGAAAUGGCCCAGGCGACUGUUUAACAAAAACACAUGGCUUUGCUAAAUCGAAAGAUGAUGUAUAAGGCCUGACACCUGCCCGGUGCUGGAAGGUUAAGAGGAGAUGUCAUUCGCAAGAAGAAGCAUUGAAUUGAAGCCCCAGUAAACGGCGGCCGUAACUAUAACGGUCCUAAGGUAGCGAAAUUCCUUGUCGGGUAAGUUCCGACCUGCACGAAUGGUGUAACGAUCUGGGCACUGUCUCAGCCA
rnacentral:rRNA from 1 species